rnacentral:rRNA from 1 species
GAUGAACGCUAGCUACAGGCUUAACACAUGCAAGUCGAGGGGAAACGACAUUGAAGCUUGCUUCGAUGGUCGUCGACCGGCGCACGGGUGAGUAACGCGUAUCCAACCUGCCUCUGACCAAGGGAUAACCCGUCGAAAGUCGGCCUAAUACCUUAUGCAGUCGUCGGAAGUCAUCUGAUGACGACGAAAGAUUUCAUCGGUGAGAGAUGGGGAUGCGUCUGAUUAGCUUGUUGGCGGGGUAACGGCCCACCAAGGCAACGAUCAGUAGGGGUUCUGAGAGGACGGUCCCCCACAUUGGAACUGAGACACGGUCCAAACUCCUACGGGAGGCAGCAGUGAGGAAUAUUGGUCAAUGGGCGAGAGCCUGAACCAGCCAAGUAGCGUGCAGGAUGACGGCCCUAUGGGUUGUAAACUGCUUUUAUGCGGGGAUAAAGUGAGGGACGUGUCCUUCAUUGCAGGUACCGCAUGAAUAAGGACCGGCGAAUUCCGU